rnacentral:rRNA from 1 species
GACGAGGGGUCCUAGCGUUGUUCGGAAUCAUUGGGCGUAAAGCGCAUGUAGGCGGCUCUGCAAGUCAGGUGUGAAAGCCCUGGGCUCAACCCAGGAAGUGCACUUGAAACUACGGAGCUUGAAUAUGGGAGAGGAUAGUGGAAUUCCUGGUGUAGUGGUGAAAUACGUAGAUAUCAGGAGGAACACCGGUGGCGAAGGCGGCUAUCUGGCCCAAUAUUGACGCUGAGAUGCGAAAGCGUGGGGAUCAAACAGG